rnacentral:lncRNA from 1 species
AAAUAACUGGAGAACAGGAUGUUUUAUAAUAGUUAUUUUUCCUAUGACUUUUUUUUCCAUGACUUUUUCCUAUGACUUUUUUCCGUCCAGCGCUGGACGAGGUGGACUCUCCUGUAUGCUGCCCAUGUCCUGUGUAGUGACCCCACACUGGCUGUGAUGUAUUGCAGUACAAUUUACAAUGAAAUCUGCAUGGCAUAAUGAUGAAAGAAAUGUAUGCAAUAUUUAUUAUAUUUUUACUUACUGUUUUAUGUGGUAGUUAUUAUAAUGUCAACAUACCUUCAGUUUGCGAGGUGAACCGUGGAUAUAAACUGGUGUACAUCCCAGGAAACCAGUGAUAACGACGCCAUACUGACCGAACAGCCUGUAGUGGUUACAGUGUCCGUUGUCAGGCCAAUGUGCCAGGUUGGAUUCUGGCAUCACUGAAUUUUUCCGGGAUGUUACGAGUCAUGCUAAAGACACUAAAACCCUCUACUCGCUGAGAAUGUCUCGAUUGACUGUAUUACCUACAUUAGUAGAAAUAUAUUCCAUUUCUUCCUGUUGAUCAAUACCAAAUAUGCAAUCGUGGUUGUGAUGAAAGGAACCAAUGUGCGAAUCACUUGAACCAUUUCCUGUACAGAACACCUUGUGGUAUGCACUUGUACACAUGAACCAAUUACUUGUUGAUGAUAUGUAUUGUAUAUUUGUGAUAUAUUUAUUUUUGGUUUCAAUACUUGUUUGGAUAUUGUAUUGUUGUUACAAGUGUUAUGAAUUUGCUACUGGAUAUUGUUAGCCCUGAGUUAAUUCCACCGUUGUCUGUUGUCUAGUUAAGCAAUUGUUGGUUGUCUUUAUUUCAUUAUACGUGACAAUGGGUGAAUAAUGAAGUAGAAAGACAAACGAGAUGGAAAAAGUUGAAGUCAGUUAUGAGACUGUAGUUAUCUCCCUUUGACCAGUUAUUAUAUGCUUGCAGGGUUUAGCAUAUGGUCUGAAACAGGAAGUGUUUUUGUUUGAGAUGAGUGAUAUUUACUUGUGACAUGUUUUCAUAGAAGGUCAUUCACUCAAACAGCACUCAACUCAUCCUUCAAUACAUGCUAGGUUAGUAAUAACUGUUUAUCAUGAGAAAUAGUUUCACACAGGAGACUUGGACUGGGCGUAACCUCUGCACACUGACAAUAACAGAUAAUCAGUGACUGAACCCCUGACCUCAUUUGAAUAUUACUGUGUACCUGUAAUUAAUACCGGACAACCGAGGUUGCUGCAUUUUGUAUGUCUACCUGAGCAAUAAGCCAUGUACCGGUACUUGACAAGUGUAACACCAGAUGUUGAUACAGGUUGGAUGUGGCAAGUGUAACACCAGAUGUUGAUACAGGUUGGAUGUGGCAAGUGUAACACCAGAUGUUGAUACAGGUUGGAUGUGGCAAGUGUAACACCAGAUGUUGAUACAGGUUGGAUGUGGCAAGUGUAACACCAGAUGUUGAUACAGGUUGGAUGUGGCAAGUGUAACACCAGAUGUUGAUACAGGUUGGAUGUGGCAAGUGUAACACCAGAUGUUGAUACAGGUUGGAUGUGGCAAGUUAACAUGCAAGACAAUAUUAAUAACAACAAAUAACAAUCCAGUGAAAUUUGAAAAUACAUCAAGAGCAAUAGGUGUUUCUAAUCUUUUAAGCAAAUUUUACCUAAACUUAUCCCUAAAUAUAUAAAAAGUUAAAUAAGUUUUGAAAGUUUGCCUGUUUGUAACCCAAACUUAUUGGUUUGUAAGUUUUGUAAGACAUGUUAGAACACAUGUCAUCCUCUGUUGAUGUCAGAUAUAUCAACAUGACCUGACACAAGUGAGUGCGUCAGUAUUAAUGCUGCUUAACGCUGCAUCGGCAAUUUUACUGCUAUUUCCAGCGAAGGGUUGACACAAGAUUUUGUCAGAUACAUCAGCAUGAGUUGACACAAGAUGCUUGCAGAGGAUGGUAGAUUUUAAUCAAAAACUGUUGAUAGGUUUCACAUCAAAAGGUACGAAGAUGAUAUCAGAUUUUUCAUCCCAAACCAUUUUUUCAAGGUUUUAGGUUAAUAAACAUGAGUCGACAUGAGUGAGAGUAUUGCUUAAUGCAAUUUUACUGCUAUUACCAGAAAAGGGUCUACAGAAGAUUUCAUCAGAUAUAUAAACAUGAGUUGACACAAGAUAAACAGUUAAAAACAAAGUCUUGAGUGCAUAAGGUACAACUGUCAAAGAUAAUGAUGCCAUUUGAUUGUGAUGUAACACAAACCGAUGUGACAAUGUUCUGUAAAGCACUGUGAUGCAGCUUGAUGUAAAUGCUGGUGUCAUGCCCCAAUACUAGUAUUUCUUCACAUACUUUCCAAAUAUGGUGGUUUGUAGCUACAGGGUAUAUGGAUGUGAUAAACUCGUGUUUAUGACUGUGUUCUCAGGAUGAAGCGUGUCUGUGAGGAUCACAAGAAGAUGUACCAUGCUUGGAGGUUGAUCAUGUUGCAAGUGUAUGUCAUGCCAUUUGUCAAUAAACCUUUGAAUAGA